AGUCGAGUCGUCGUGUUAGUAGUAAUUCACCACUUUCUAGAUCCUAAAUCCUAUAGAUCUGUUUAUCUUCCUUCGUAUAUAAUCUCUACGAUACUCAAAUUCUCUCUACAGCUGAUUCUUAGAAUAGUUUGUCAGAAAAAAAAGGCUAAAACAAACAGGCCUCUAGAUAUCUUGCGCCAUGAGCUUAUUCGAACCCUGGCACCGACCAUCUUGGGCCUCCCCCACAUACAGGCCCUCAAGGUUCAUGUCAACCGGCCAGUGAAAAGCAUAUGCCACACCUGCGAAACUUUAAGAUCGGAUAGAUUACAUCCGUGGGUCAAAUUCUUCACAUGGGUACCCGUUGGAUUUCAGAUUUACGGAUUAAAAUUGUCAUUACCGAGAACCCAUUGGCAGUCACCGCUCUGUCUGGAUCUCGAGUUCCUAUGCCCGUCUAUCUGCAUGGGCAUGGCGCGGACGGGCCACUUUAUUUACGUCACCUGCAAUGCAAGCUUGCGAUGAGAAUCUCAAAGCCACUACCCGCCGCUACGGUGCAGCUACUUGUACGGCCAGGGCCAGCCAAUACAUACAAGGUCCGACGGCUGCAGCUCCGACGGUUUGCCCAUCCUUCUUGACCCUUGUCGUGUUCCUUUCUUU
rnacentral:lncRNA from 1 species